AAUUAUACCGGAAGAGUGUGCUCUUGUUUUUUCAACAAACGUUUGGUCGUCGUCGUCGUCGAGUGUGUGUGGACGCCACGAGGGGAAAGAAAACUUGCCACAAACGAACUUAAUGAACGUAACUACACACUGAAGCAGUUUUGUGAGAUGUUCAUCCAUUUUAUGGACACUAGUGCGUUAGUUUCUUUCUCGAUAAACUUUUUUUGUCGGUACGUUGCUAUGCUACGCUAUGCUAUGCUAGGCUAGUGCUGCGGUUCAACGUUCUCAGCUCUGUGAACACUCGACACACAGCGGAUGGCUCGUCUGGAAAAGGCAAACGUUUGAAAAACCAAAAGGUCCCUUCUUUAAUGUCUGCCAUCAGAACACGUGGGUUCGAUUUCAACGGCAACAUCAUCAUGAUUUCCACAGAUGAGCAGAUGGGCCGUCAGUGUUUCAUGAACUUCUUCGACCUGAGGGAUCCACAGAUCGUAGAGAAGUCCUGAAGAAAGCUAAAGAGCACAUCCAGACGUCACCAUGUUCAUCAGGGCCUCAAAGGACAACACCACCAAGGUCCUUUCUUUAAUGUCUGCCACCAGAACACGUGGGUUUGAUUUCACAGACGAGCAGAUGGGCCGUCAGUGUUUCAUGAACUAGUUCGACCUGAGGGAUCCACAGAUCGUAGAUUUAACGAUGUGCCCUACAUGACAGAGUCCAAGCUGCUGUGCCUUCAAGUCUUCUCCUCCAUUGCAUCUGUAAAUGACUGAUAAGCAUAGGAGGCACAAUGGAUGGAAUGACAAGAACAAGCUGGAAUAACACGAUCAAAAGCUGUGUCGGUCUCAUGGAAAGCCAUACAGUUGAUGGGACCUUUGACUCUGCCACUCCUCUUCGUAUGCAGCGUGGAAGAACCUGCAGAUUAGAAGAACACGUCGUUGAGCCACAUGUUAGCACAAACAAACAGGUUUUCCUUAAAAGCAGCUACAAAGUAGUCACUCUUACAGUGCAAAGUCUGUUGCACAACUAAAUGUUUACAUAUCACUAUCAUCAGUAACAGUACAAACUCAAUGUUUUAAACAUUUCAUCACUACAUGAAGGCCUUUGUUUGUAACAAAGUCAUGGCUUAAUCGGUGCUAAUGCUAACACCACAAUGGAAUAAAGAAUAUUUGCAUUUGCA